rnacentral:lncRNA from 1 species
UUCCUUACAACACAACGCAUUCAAAAUCAAAGGGGAAUGAUAAUUUGAAAAAGCUUCUUCCAGGCUGAUACAAUGAACACAUGAAUAAGGAAAAAAGACAAAAGAAAUCCGUAAGUCAGGGAUAUGCACUGAUGACACCAGAAGGCGAUUCAGAAACACCAUUAUCAUUCACGUCACACAAAGCUCUCAAUCCCUCAAAUCACUCUCUACUCACUCAACAGAAACCCCUAGACUGUCUUUGCUCCUCUCCACUCCAACCAUUUUUCCCUUUCACUUCCAAUUAUUCACCUCCAACAUCUCAUUACCGCACUCUAGAAUUCACCUCGACCAAAAAUCAGAAUCCAUUUUUCAUGGCCACUCUCCUUACAAUUACAAAGCUGUGUUUCUCUAGUCUAACACCAAGGCCAUUGAACAAGAAGUGGAGUUAAAUCACAAGAAAAAAGAUUACAAGGAUUUAAGAGGAAAAUGUGAACAUAGAAGGUAAGAUCUCCUUCGUUGCUCGCGAGUUAUAAAUGUUAGAUAGCGUCUCUGCUUCUGGUUUUGAUUCGGUGAUGCUUGGCUUUAUUUGCUUCUGGUUUUGAUUUGGUCAUGCCUGGCCUUGUCUGCUUGAAUAUACGGUUAUAUUGAAUGGCUUUGUUUUGAACAUGCAAUUAUAUUGGACGGCUUUACCUGCUUGAACAUGCAAUAUAUAUAUGAUUUGCUUCUGCACACUGUUUGUUAUUCCUCCAUCCCAACAGCAUAAGUACAUUACGCCACCUUCAACCAUUGGAGACCAUUACUCUCCUUGCAUAACCCAAACCUGCAAAUUAAUAUCCUGCAUCUCAGCCCAAAUUCCAGUAACCUGCCCUCUACAGAUACAUCAUCUUCCCAACGAACCGAAUCCCAAAUUUACUUUAGCUCUUCUUAUUCCUCCAUAUUCUCUGUCAAAGCCGAUAGCCCAUAUCCAUCCUAUACAAUCAAAACCCUACGGCCAUUUUUCCUGCAAGAGAAAAGCAUAAACCCUUCUUUACAGAUUCAUCAUCUUCCUAUCCCAAAUCCCCCUGUUAAAGAAAUUACAGCAAGUUGCAAACCAAUUUCACACGAUCUUCAACCACAACCACAAGAGGCAACACUAAUCAGGAAAUCAGUUCGUCUUACGCUCACCUUGUGUGUUCUAAUCAAUCAACCCUAGCACAAAAUGCAACACAAUGAGUGUGAACGCGAAGAGCACUUGACCGUUUAAGCCUUCUGCGGUAACGACGUGUCUUACUGGUUGGCGUCUCUGUAAUGGCGGCCUCGGUUGUGAUAGCAAGGGCAUCUUGAACCGCUGUGAACGGGCACGGCUCCCACCGUUUGCCGACAACGGCGGCGACGCCCAGUUUCAUUGACAACAGCGGCGACGCCCAAUUGCACUGAAAGCGGUGGUUUCGUUCGAAGAAGAAGGUUGGUUCGUGCGACGCUUUCGGUGCAGGUCAGGGCCGCCGGCGAUGAUGCGACGACGAACCUCGACGACGGCGUAGGGUGGCGGUUUGACGGCUGGCCUUGGUUGCGGAGUUGGGUGCAGCGCGCGAAAAGGGGAAAGCUCCCUCGGGCUAGCGUUUCCCUCAUUGACGACGUCGCCGGUGUGGCUUUGGCCAGCCAUGGGUACGUAUGACGAGACUGGUCAUCUUGGUGGCUAGGCGGUUCGCGGCGGUCGGCGAAAGUGGAAGCCUCCAGGAUUGCCGAUGGAGUGAGGGAGAGACUCUAGGUCUCAGGCUGAAGUGUUGAAAUGAGGUGGGGAAGCUUGAACCCCUCGUGUGUUUCUAAGUCAGGAGAUAGCUUUGGGCUUGAGUGCCUAGGCUGGCCUAAUAAAAAAAAGGAUCCCGUUAUUUUGACAUCAUAAAUUUGACACUUAUUUGACAUUGUCACGUGUCAACAUGCUAUUGGCUAUUUUUAUUUUUUAUUUUUUUUAAAAAAUUUGGUCUAAAAAAUGCAGAGUUUUUCAGAGAGAAUGUUUUCCUUUUCUACCCCUGGGCAUUUUGAGUUUGAAUGUGAAGGAUUGGUUUUCUCUCAGAAUUGGUUUCUCUCUCAGAAUUGGUUUCUCUCUCACAUUUAUCGUCUUCUCCAUUAACGCUCACGGACUACUCUUCUCCACAGUCUCGUCGUCUCCAUUGCUCUCCACUGCUCUGAAAUGGCAAGUUCCGGAUUCGAGCAUCGCUGGACGAAG